rnacentral:rRNA from 1 species
AGUUGGUGGAGUGAUUUGUCUGGUUAAUUCCGUUAACGAACGAGACCUCGACCUGCUAAAUAGUAUCUGUUAUCUUUUGAUAGCAAGGCACUUCUUAGAGGGACUAUCGGUGUGUAGCCGAUGGAAGUUCGAGGCAAUAACAGGU